rnacentral:lncRNA from 1 species
GAGUAUUAUCUUAACUCACCCGAGAGAACCAAACAAAAAAAACAGUCAUGACAAACCAAACCAGACCGCAAGAAGCGAAGCAUAACCAAACAAAACAGAACAAAAACCAAAUCAAAUGGAACUGAACCAAAUUAAAUCAAUCAUACCAAUCCAACUCAAAUACCAAUCCGAUGCACAUAAUUCCAUCAGCAUGUGCUGCCGUCUUCUUCAUAUACCAUAUACACUAUACUUCCAUGAGAGUAUAUGGCACCGGCAACUCUGCCAACAAUAAAAGUGACCUUUGAUAUAUUGGAAUAGCUAUUAGCUUCAAUACGGCGGCUGCGGACGAAAUUAACAUCACUCAACAAACAGAAAAUUGUGAUUCACUUUAAGCUGUUCCUCAAAAACAAAUUUGCUCUUUCUUCAAUCGAUUUCUUUGAAC